AUAAUAAAUAAAAUUCAGUAUAAAAAUAUUUAAUAAACUUAAUAUUAAAUUUAAAAUAAAUUUAAAAAAAAAAAACAAAAAUUAAUAAUUUAAUUAAUUAAAAAUUAAUUUUAAUCUAAAUAUAGAUCUAUCAAAUAAAUAAAAUAAACUGAAUAAAACAUUUAGAAUUAAUCUAAUCAUGACAACAAUAAAUAAAAAUUAAUUAAUUCAAAAUAAAUGUGUAACAUCAUUUUAAUUUAACAAAUUUCCCUAAUAUAAAAUUACCGCCAAAUUAAAUAAUUUUUAUUAAAAUAAAUCUUCUAUUUAUGUAAAAUUUUUGGUAUAUAUAAAUAGGGUAUCUAAUCCUAAUUUAAUAAAUACUAAAAUUAAUAAAAAAUAAUUAAGUAUAAUAUUAAUAUAUUAUUUAACCAUAAUAUUAAUAAAAUAAUUAAAAUAAAAAUAAAUAAUAAAUAAAUAACUUAUAUUAAUUAUUAUAUUUUGUA
rnacentral:rRNA from 1 species